GAGGCGGGCAAAUGAACUGCUAACUCCAUAUGCCC
rnacentral:tRNA from 1 species